CAGAGAACUCGAGAUGGAAGGAUUUCCCCAAGUGAGUAGCUCAUUUAGCAGACAGAGUAGGACCUGCCAUUAUAUGAUCAUACAUUGCAUAAGCCUGCCACAACGCCAAUGUACCCCAUCUUUGGCAGGUCCUACUCUGUCUGCUAAAUGAGCUACUCACUUGGGGAAAUCCUUCCAUCUCGAGUUCUCUG